UACGGGGGGGGCAAGCGUUGUUCGGAAUUACUGGGCGUAAAGGGCUCGUAGGCGGCCAACGUAAGUCGGAUGUGAAAUCCCCAAGCUUAACUUGGGAACUGCAUCCGAUACUGGAUGGCUUGAAUCCGGGAGAGGGAUGCAGAAUUCCAGGGUGUGAGCGGUGAAAUGCGUAGAUAUCUGGAGGAAUACCGGUGGCGAAGGCGGCAUCCUGGACCGGCAUUGACGCUGAGGAGCGAAAGCGUGGGGAGCGAACAGG
rnacentral:rRNA from 1 species